GCACAGGCAAGAACCAUGAGGUGACCCAAGACCAACAUUGUUUCCAUUUGAAAUAUAUUUGUAACAAUGGUAAAAAGAGCAAGCUAUUGUGCCAAGAAGGAAAGUCAGCCUAAAUAAGAUAUAUUCACAUUUUGUAUAUAUAUAUAUCAGAGACACCAAGUGACUUAGUGUAACUCAUUUACAUGAAUCCAACAAAGGAAGCAUCUACAUUAUAAUUCAAGAACAAUAAUGAUGAUUAUUUCAGCUAUAUGUAGAAGACUCUAAUGUAAUAUAGUGUUCAUCAAAUUGUGAUCAUCCAACACAAACUUUUGCGAUAUGCAGCAUCAUUUGAAUUAUCUGCAGAU